rnacentral:rRNA from 1 species
UGGGGAAUAUUGGACAAUGGGCGCAAGCCUGAUCCAGCCAUGCCGCGUGAGUGACGAAGGUCUUCGGAUUGUAAAGCUCUUUUAGCAGGGAAGAUAAUGACGGUACCUGCAGAAUAAGCCCCGGCUAACUUCGUGCCAGCAGCCGCGGUAAUACGAAGGGGGCUAGCGUUGUUCGGAAUUACUGGGCGUAAAGCGCACGUAGGUGGAUUGAUAAGUUAGAGGUGAAAUCCCGGGGCUCAACCUCGGAACUGCCUUUGAUACUGUUAGUCUCGAGUCCGAUAGAGGUGAGUGGAAUUCCUAGUGUAGAGGUGAAAUUCGUAGAUAUUAGGAAGAACACCAGUGGCGAAGGCGGCUCACUGGAUCGGUACUGACGCUGAGGUGCGAAAGCGUGGGGAGCAAACAGGAUUAGAUACCCCCGUAGUCCCUGAGCGGGCUGGCAAGGCGCAU